UGGGGAAUCUUGGACAAUGGGGGCAACCCUGAUCCAGCCAUGCCGCGUGAGCGAUGACGGCCUUAGGGUUGUAAAGCUCUUUCAACGGUGACGAUAAUGACGGUAGCCGUAGAAGAAGUCCCGGCUAACUCCGUGCCAGCAGCCGCGGUAAUACGGAGGGGACUAGCGUUGUUCGGAAUUACUGGGCGUAAAGCGCGCGUAGGCGGACUGUUAAGUCGGGGGUGAAAUCCCGGGGCUCAACCCCGGAACUGCCUUCGAUACUGGCGGUCUAGAGUCCGUGAGAGGUUGGUGGAAUGGCGAGUGUAGAGGUGAAAUUCGUAGAUAUUCGCCGGAACACCAGUGGCGAAGGCGGCCAACUGGCACGGUACUGACGCUGAGGUGCGAAAGCGUGGGGAGCAAACAGGAUUAGAUACCCCCGUAGUCC
rnacentral:rRNA from 1 species